GUUAACUUUUUGCCCUGUCCCACUGAAGUUGAAAAUCAUGCACUGGACCAGGAUCAGUCUGAAGUCAAGGUUCGGUUAUCUGGAAAUCCUGCUGGACCUCUUGUUGCUCUGGCUUUCAAAUUGGAAGAGGGUCGCUUUGGCCAAUUGACCUAUUUAAGAAUCUAUGAAGGUAUUAUAAAAAAGGGCGACUUCAUCAUCAACAUAAAUACAGGGAAAAAGAUCAAGGU